rnacentral:sRNA from 2 species
AUAUCUCUCCGUACGGGAAGGAUGAGAAGCUUCGACUAAGGUUCGAUUCGAGCGCAGCGAGAACGCGUUGCCGCAGGCAACGA